CUGCAGCCAAUUAAGCCGACUGUGCUCUUUCCCCAUGGGGCCCAGUGUGCAAUGGCUGCGAACAGCAGCCUCCUUGGUAGUGUAUGCAGCCUGUUGGUUGUACGGGUUGCCCUAAGGGACCUUGGAGACAGUU
ensembl:snoRNA SNORA70 Small nucleolar RNA SNORA70